UACGAAGGGUGCAAACGUUGCUCGGAAUUAUUGGGCGUAAAGCGCACGUAGGCGGCUUUGCAAGUCGGAUGUGAAAUCCCUCGGCUUAACCAAGGAAGUGCAUCCGAAACUGCAGAGCUUGAGUACUUAAGAGGAUCGCGGAAUUCCCGGUGUAGAGGUGAAAUUCGUAGAUAUCGGGAGGAACACCAGUGGCGAAGGCAGCCUUCUGGGCCAACACUGACGCUCAUGCACGAAAGCGUGGGGAGCAAACAGG
rnacentral:rRNA from 1 species